GUCGGCGUGGCGGAAUGGCAUACGCAGGUGGCUUAAAACCUCCGGGGGCGAAAGCCUCGUGCGGGUUCAACUCCCGCCGCCGACACCA
rnacentral:tRNA from 1 species